rnacentral:rRNA from 1 species
UACGAAGGGUGCAAGCGUUAAUCGGAAUUACAGGGCGUAAAGCGUGCGCAGGCGGCUUUGCAAGACAGAUGUGAAAUCCCCGGGCUCAACCUGGGAACUGCAUUUGUGACUGCAAGGCUAGAGUACGGCAGAGGGGGAUGGAAUUCCGCGUGUAGCAGUGAAAUGCGUAGAUAUGCGGAGGAACACCAAUGGCGAAGGCAAUCCCCUGGGCCUGUACUGACGCUCAUGCACGAAAGCGUGGGGAGCAAACAGG